CUGUUGUUCUAUUUUGUUGGUUGCGGGACGACAGUAAUGAUUAAUAGGGAUAGUUGGGGGCAUUCAUAUUUAAUUGUCAGAGGUGAAAUUCUUAGAUUUAUGAAAGAUGAACGAGUGCGAAAGCAUCUGCCAAGGAUGUUUUCAUUAAUCAAGAACGAAAGUUAGGGGAUCGAAGACGAUCAGAUACCGUCGUAGUCUUAACCAUAAACUAUGCCGACUAGGGAUUGGCGGAAGUGAAAUAGUUACUCCAUCAGCACCUUAUGAGAAAUCAAAGUUUUUGGGUUCUGGGGGGAGUAUGGUCGCAAGGCUGAAACUUAAAGGAAUUGACGGAAGGGCACCACCAGGAGUGGAGCCUGCGGCUUAAUUUGACUCAACACGGGGAAACUCACC
rnacentral:rRNA from 1 species